rnacentral:lncRNA from 1 species
GUAUGAAGAAGAUAUCUCUUAUUUGGAAUGACUGUCUAUUCAAGAGUUUGUGGUGGUUAUGCUUAUGUUGCUGCUGUGGGUGGACCUCUCAUACUUGGAGCUACAGACAUUGGUGUGAGAAGCAAUGCAUGUGGGCUUUAUGACUGAUGCUCUUCGACUUCACCCUUUCUGGAGAAGUCUUAAUCCAUACCUGCCAUGUGCCUUUUCUGCUAGGCGGGUAUUUUUCGAUAAAAAAAAAAAAGUGGAGUAAAAUGUAGCGAUUUAUCUAUCGAGUGGGAUGGAAUUGACCAAAAGAUGCUGAAUCAUGGCUUCUAUCUGAUGGUAACUGUUGUCAUG